rnacentral:misc_RNA from 1 species
UCCGAGUUGACCCCGGCAGUCUCCUGCGAGUCCCCGCCAUUACGCGCUGGCAACACAGGACAAGGGUUGCGCUCGUUGCGGGACUUAACCCAACAUCUCACGACACGAGCUGACGACAGCCAUGCACCACCUGUACACCACCAAAAGAAGCCACAUCUCUGCAGCGGCACGGUGUAUGUCAAGCCCAGGUAAGGUUCUUCGCGUUGCUUCGAAUUAAGCCACAUGCUCCGCCGCUUGUGCGGGCCCCCGUCAAUUCCUUUG